CCUACGGGGGGCUGCAGUGAGGAAUAUUGGUCAAUGGGCGGGAGCCUGAACCAGCCAAGUCGCGUGAGGGAAGACGGUCCUAUGGAUUGUAAACCUCUUUAGGCGGGGAGCAAUGCCGGGCACGCGUGCCCGGAGGGAGAGUACCCGCAGAAUAAGCAUCGGCUAACUCCGUGCCAGCAGCCGCGGUAAUACGGAGGAUGCGAGCGUUAUCCGGAUUUAUGGGGUUUAAAGGGUGCGUAGGCGGAGUUUUAAGUCAGCGGUAAAAUGUCCGGGCUCAACCCGGGCCGGCCGUUGAAACUGGGGAUCUUGAGUGGGCGAGAAGUAUGCGGAAUGCGUGGUGUAGCGGUGAAAUGCAUAGAUAUCACGCAGAACUCCGAUUGCGAAGGCAGCAUACCAGCGCCCGACUGACGCUGAGGCACGAAAGCGUGGGGAUCGAACAGGAUUAGAUACCCUAGUAGUC
rnacentral:rRNA from 1 species